CUGGCUCAGAUUGAACGCUGGCGGCAGGCCUAACACAUGCAAGUCGAACGGUGACAGGAGAAGCUUGCUCUUGCUGACGAGUGGCGGACGGGUGAGUAAUGUCUGGGAAACUGCCUGAUGGAGGGGGAUAACUACUGGAAACGGUAGCUAAUACCGCAUAACGUCGCAAGACCAAAGAGGGGGACCUUCGGGCCUCUUGCCAUCGGAUGUGCCCAGAUGGGAUUAGCUUGUUGGUGGGGUAACGGCUCACCAAGGCGACGAUCCCUAGCUGGUCUGAGAGGAUGACCAGCCACACUGGAACUGAGACACGGUCCAGACUCCUACGGGAGGCAGCAGUGGGGAAUAUUGCACAAUGGGCGCAAGCCUGAUGCAGCCAUGCCGCGUGUAUGAAGAAGGCCUUCGGGUUGUAAAGUACUUUCAGCGGGGAGGAAGGGAGUAAAGUUAAUACCUUUGCUCAUUGACGUUACCCGCAGAAGAAGCACCGGCUAACUCCGUGCCAGCAGCAGC
rnacentral:rRNA from 1 species